GUUUGAUCCUGGCUCAGAUUGAACGCUGGCGGCAGGGCCUAACACAUGCAAAGUCGAACGGUAGCACAGAGAGCUUGCUCUCGGGUGACGAGUGGCGGACGGGUGAGUAAUGUCUGGGAAACUGCCCGAUGGAGGGGGAUAACUACUGGAAACGGUAGCUAAUACCGCAUAAUGUCGCAAGACCAAAGAGGGGGACCUUCGGGCCUCUUGCCAUCGGAUGUGCCCAGAUGGGAUUAGCUUGUAGGUGGGGUAACGGCUCACCUAGGCGACGAUCCCUAGCUGGUCUGAGAGGAUGACCAGCCACACUGGAACUGAGACACGGUCCAGACUCCUACGGGAGGCAGCAGUGGGGAAUAUUGCACAAUGGGCGCAAGCCUGAUGCAGCCAUGCCGCGUGUAUGAAGAAGGCCUUCGGGUUGUAAAGUACUUCAGCGAGGAGGAAGGCGUUGUGGUUAAUAACCACAGCGAUUGAC
rnacentral:rRNA from 1 species